GAUUGGUCCAAAGGGUUUCCCCGGACUUAAGGGGCCCAAAGAUGAGCCUGGAGAUAAAGGAGAACCAGGAGAUCAGGGGCCAGAGGGUCUUCCAGGCGACAGGGGGCCCCAAGCAUCUCCUGGAUUGAAGGGUUUGCCUGGUGAGGUGGGGCCUCAGGGAACUGUUGGCCCACCAGGACCUUUGGGACCAAAAGGUCAAACAGGCCCUGAGGGGAGACUAGGCCAGAAAGGUCAAAAGGGGUAUGAUGGUCGAAAUGGGUAUCCAGGAAAGACCGGACACAUUGGAAGGAGGGGGAAUAGAGGAAAAACUGGAAGCAAAGGCUUAGGUGGAGAGAGAGGAGAAAAGGGAAAGAGGGGAGAUUUUGGUUCAACCGGGCCUCCAGGAAGACAAGGGCCUUACGGGACACCUGGCUUACAAGGAGAGAAGGGUCUAAUGGGUGGACCAGGUAUAGAGG